UAGAAUUAGAAGAUGGUAUUUUAAGAGCACAGGAAAGUGGAUUGCAUCUUUUUUACCAAAUGGAAGAUUUGCCAAGACCUCCUGGGCCUCCAGCUACCGUCUAAAUGACCUGCUGCCAUGACAAGUGAUGUUGUGAUGCAAGAGAAGGAUCUUGUUGCCUCCUCGACCAAUAACAGUCAAAUUACCUGGAGACUGACAUCCUGAAUCUCAUGGUCUUUUGCCUUUGAAUCUGCAACCUGUCCAGGAAUUGAUUUCUCUGCUUUUGAUUCUGCCCAAUCACCAGGAUUCUGCCAUACUGCCUGCACGUGUUUUGCUUUUGCUGCCAUCUACUGGGAGAUCAACUACUUUAUCUCAGAUCCUUGCUGAAAACUUGCUUGAAACUCUUCUGCUCACCAGACUUAAUCACCUAGAAAUAAACCAGUUCCCCCAGGACUUGACAUACCCAAAUUGGUAGGUCUCCUCCCAUAUCUAGGAUGUCUAAUGAUGCUGCAAAUACCUUAAGAAAAGAAUACUAUAAAUCAUUGAAAUGAAAAUGAAAGCACAAUUCACUUUCUAAUAAUUUGAUGUAAAAUAUAUUUUUCCAUGUGUAUAUUCUGCCACAUCCCUAAAACCCUGCAUAUCUGGUCACAGAAAGUUUGCUAACAUUAGGCUGUUAUUGGUGAAGAGGCCACCUUCUACAGAGUCCAUAAAAAAGUAACAAGUUAACAUUGGUAUUUCAGAUGGAGAGACUUGGUAUUUAACUCUGGCACCACCAUUAACAAGCAAAAAGUUAUAUAACUCUAUGUCUCAGUUCCUUAUCUUUAAUAUUGUAGUGAUACAACCAUCAACCUAAUAAAAUGUAUGAAGAAUAAAAAA